CGGUGCGUAACACGUGAGCAACCUGCCGUUUGGUGGUGGGGGAGUAGCCGGGCUAACGCCCCGGGGUAAUACCGCAUACGGUUCUCGAGGGGAGUCCCUUGGGAAAGAAACCUCCGGGGCACAGAGAGGGGCUCGCGGCCUAUCAGCUAGUUGGCGGGGUAAUGGCCCACCAAGGCGACGACGGGUAGCUGGUCUGAGAGGAUGGCCAGCCACAUUGGGACUGAGAGACGGCCCAG
rnacentral:rRNA from 1 species